CAGGCAGCAUCAUACAGGAGUGUGAGAUUAUGCCCUCUGCUGAGCAAUACGUAUGUGCCCUGAAUCUAUCUGAGCCAGCCUUCCACCUUCAAAUCUGAAGACAAUGAACAGAAACUGUAAUGUGAACUUAUAAUAAAAAGGUAUGACUGUCAAUA